ensembl:miRNA MIR144 microRNA 144
UGGUGCCCUGGCCAGGAUAUCAUCGUAUACUGUAAGUUUGCAAUGAGACACUACAGUAUAGAUGAUGUACUGGUAUGGGUCACCCUC